GAAGAAUGACGCAGUAAGCAUUCAUUGAUGUGACACUAGACGGAAAUGACGUAGCCCACCAGCUCCGCCCAACCCGGAAGGACCUGGCAAAUAGCACGUGGGUCGCAUAACCAUGGAAGUUGUUGGCGAGAUGGAGCCUGUGGAAUAUGAAGGCUCAGAUCUGAGCUCGGAGGUGUCUGAUGGUGGCUCUUCUUCCGAUGGAAAUGACGAAAGUGAUCAUGAGGAUGAGGUCACAAAGGAUGACCAGGAAUUCUUUGAGGAUGAAAAUGCCAACAAAGGCUGGGCCGAUGCCAUGGCUAAGAUCCUUAACAAGAAGGUGUCCGAGAGGAAGGCAACGGCCAUAUUGGUGAAAAGCAAAGCCCUUGAGAAGGAGAAGCUGGAGAAGCAGGAAAAGAAGAAGCAGUUUGAUACAAAACGGCAGUGGGAAAUGAUGUGCAGAGUGAAGCCAGAUGUGGUCAAAGACAAAGAAACGGAGAGAAAUAUGCAGAGAAUUGCUACGAGGGGGGUCGUACAGUUGUUCAAUGCUGUCAGAACCCACCAGAGUAACGUGAACGACAAACUGAAAGAUGCUGGGCGCUCUGAAAGAAAACGUAGUAAACUAAUGUCCUCAGUCUCCAAAAGAGACUUUAUUGAUGUUCUUAGAGGGAAAGAAAGUAAAGGCGAGCAGACGACUGCAAUGAAGAAGGGCGUUAAAAAGGUGCAGUUUAAUCGCAUUCAUCCCGUGUCUCGCAGUAUCUAACAUGAGCCAUAGAAGAAUUGAUUCCAGAUGUCAGGGAGCGACCGUAUCGCUCUCCCCGGCCACAGCAAACUCCAGAGAUUCCACUUCGGAUAAGGGGAGGUCACUGUAAAAGCAGAAAACGAGCCGGGGUGGAACAUC